GACAGAGGGUGCAAACGUUGUUCGGAAUUACUGGGCGUAAAGCGCGUGUAAGCUGCCUUGCAAGUCGGGUGUGAAAGCCCUGGGCUCAACCUAGGAAGUGCACUCGAAACUGCAAGGCUGGAGUCCUGGAGAGGAAGGCGGAAUUCUCGGUGUAGAGGUGAAAUUCGUAGAUAUUGGGAAGAACACCGAUGGCGAAGGCAGCCAUCUGGACCGACACUGACGCUGAGGCGCGAAAGCGUGGGGAGCAAACAGG
rnacentral:rRNA from 1 species